rnacentral:rRNA from 1 species
GACGAACGCUGGCGGCGUGCCUAAUACAUGCAAGUCGAGCGGACUUAAAAAGCUUGCUUUUUAAGUUAGCGGCGGACGGGUGAGUAACACGUGGGCAACCUGCCUGUAAGACUGGGAUAACUUCGGGAAACCGGAGCUAAUACCGGAUAAUCCUUUUCUACUCAUGUAGAAAAGCUGAAAGACGGUUUACGCUGUCACUUACAGAUGGGCCCGCGGCGCAUUAGCUAGUUGGUGAGGUAACGGCUCACCAAGGCGACGAUGCGUAGCCGACCUGAGAGGGGGAUCGGCCACACUGGGACUGAGACACGGCCCAGACUCCUACGGGAGGCAGCAGUAGGGAAUCUUCCGCAAUGGACGAAAGUCUGACGGAGCAACGCCGCGUGAGUGAUGAAGGUUUUCGGAUCGGAAAACUCUGUUGUUAGGGAAGAACAAGUACGAGAGUAACUGCUCGUACCUUGACGGUACCUAACCAGAAAGCCACGGCUAACUACGUG